rnacentral:rRNA from 1 species
UCGRGGGGCAUCGAGAAGAAAGCUUGCUUUCUUUGUCGGCGACCGGCGCACGGGUGAGUAACGCGUAUCCAACCUACCCUUUACACUGGGAUAGCCCGUUGAAAAGCGGAUUAAUACCAGAUGCAGUCCUUUGCGGACAUCUAAGUAGGACGAAAGGUUUUUCCGGUAGAGGAUGGGGAUGCGUCCGAUUAGCUUGUUGGCGGGGUAACGGCCCACCAAGGCGACGAUCGGUAGGGGUUCUGAGAGGAAGGUCCCCCACACUGGUACUGAGACACGGACCAGACUCCUACGGGAGGCAGCAGUGAGGAAUAUUGGUCAAUGGGCGUAAGCCUGAACCAGCCAAGUAGCGUGCAGGAUGACGGCCCUAUGGGUUGUAAACUGCUUUUAUAGGGGAAUAAAGUUCGGGACGUGUCCCGUUUUGUAUGUACCCUAUGAAUAAGGACCGGCUAAUUCCGUGCCAGCAGCCGCGGUAAUACGGAAGGUCCGGGCGUUAUCCGGAUUUAUUGGGUUUAAAGGGAGCGUAGGCCGACUUUUAAGCGUGUUGUGAAAUGUGGUGGCUCAACCUCUGCACUGCAGCGCGAACUGGGAGUCUUGAGUGCGCAGUAAGCUGGCGGAAUUCGUUGUGUAGCGGUGAAAUGCUUAGAUAUGACGAAGAACUCCGAUUGCGAAGGCAGCUGGCUGUAGCGUUACUGACGCUGAAGCUCGAAAGCGUGGGUAUCGAACAGGAUUAGAUACCCUGGUAGUCCACGCGGUAAACGAUGGAUGCUCGCUGUGUGCCUUAUGAGGUACGUGGCCAAGCGAAAGCAUUAAGCAUCCCACCUGGGGAGUACGCCGGCCACGGUGAAACUCAAAGGAAUUGACGGGGGCCCGCACAAGCGGAGGAACAUGUGGUUUAAUUCGAUGAUACGCGAGGAACCUUACCCGGGCUUGAACUGCAGGGGAACGAUUCAGAGAUGAUGAGGUCCUUCGGGACUCCUGUGGAGGUGCUGCAUGGUUGUCGUCAGCUCGUGCCGUGAGGUGUCGGCUUAAGUGCCAUAACGAGCGCAACCCUUUUCUGUAGUUGCCAUCAGGUAAUGCUGGGCACUCUACGGACACUGCCGCCGCAAGGUGUGAGGAAGGUGGGGAUGACGUCAAAUCAGCACGGCCCUUACGUCCGGGGCUACACACGUGUUACAAUGGCGCAUACAGAUUGCCGGCUUGUGGCAACACUGGUCUAAUCAAUAAAAUGCGUCGUAGUUCGGAUUGGGGUCUGCAACCCGACCCCAUGAAGCUGGAUUCGCUAGUAAUCGCGCAUCAGCCAUGGCGCGGUGAAUACGUUCCCGG